rnacentral:rRNA from 1 species
GAUGAACGCUGGCGGCGUGCCUAAUACAUGCAAGUCGAGCGAACGGACGAGAAGCUUGCUUUUCUGAUGUUAGCGGCGGACGGGUGAGUAACACGUGGAUAACCUACCUAUAAGACUGGGAUAACUUCGGGAAACCGGAGCUAAUACCGGAUAAUAUUUUGAACCGCAUGGUUCAAAAGUGAAAGACGGUCUUGCUGUCACUUAUAGAUGGAUCCGCGCUGCAUUAGCUAGUUGGUAAGGUAACGGCUUACCAAGGCAACGAUGCAUAGCCGACCUGAGAGGGGGAUCGGCCACACUGGAACUGAGACACGGUCCAGACUCCUACGGGAGGCAGCAGUAGGGAAUCUUCCGCAAUGGGCGAAAGCCUGACGGAGCAACGCCGCGUGAGUGAUGAAGGUCUUCGGAUCGUAAAACUCUGUAUUAGGGAAGAACAUAUGUGUAAGUAACUGUGCACAUCUUGACGGUACCUAAUCAGAAAGCCACGGCUAACUACGUG